rnacentral:rRNA from 1 species
GAUGAACGCUGGCGGCGUGCCUAAUACAUGCAAGUCGAGCGAACGGACGAGAAGCUUGCUUCUCUGAUGUUAGCGGCGGACGGGUGAGUAACACGUGGAUAACCUACCUAUAAGACUGGGAUAACUUCGGGAAACCGGAGCUAAUACCGGAUGAUAUUUUGAACCGCAUGGUUCAAAAGUGAAAGACGGUCUUGCUGUCACUUAUAGAUGGAUCCGCGCUGCAUUAGCUAGUUGGUAAGGUAGCGGCUUACCAAGGCAACGAUGCAUAGCCGACCUGAGAGGGUGAUCGGCCACACUGGAACUGAGACACGGUCCAGACUCCUACGGGAGGCAGCAGUAGGGAAUCUUCCACAAUGGGCGAAAGCCUGACGGAGCAACGCCGCGUGAGUGAUGAAGGUCUUCGGAUCGUAAAACUCUGUUAUUAGGGAAGAACAUAUGUGUAAGUAACUGUGCACAUCUUGACGGUACCUAAUCAGAAAGCCACGGCUAACUACGUG